rnacentral:rRNA from 1 species
CCUACGGGAGACAGCAGUGAGGAAUAUUGGUCAAUGGGCUUACGCCUGAACCAGCCAAGUCGCGUGAGGGAAGACUGCCCUAUGGGUUGUAAAGAUCUGUCAGUGGGGACGAAACUUGACGGUACCACAGAGGAAGCACCGGCUAACUCCGUGCCAGCAGCCGCGGUAAUACGGAGGGUGCAAGCGUUGUCCGGAAUCAUUGGGCGUAAAGAGUUCGUAGGUGGCAUAUUAAGUCUGGUGUUAAAUGCAGAAGCUCAACUUCUGUUCGGCACUGGAUACUGGUAAGCUUGAAUGCGGUAGAGGUAAAGGGAAUUCCUGGUGUAGCGGUGAAAUGCGUAGAUAUCAGGAGGAACAUCGGUGGCGUAAGCGCUUUACUGGGCCGUAAUUGACACUGAGGAACGAAAGCCGGGGUAGCAAAUGGGAUUAGAUACCCUAGUAGUC